rnacentral:lncRNA from 1 species
UUGUGGUUGUCUGUAUUAUUUAAGCUUAGCUAACAAAUGGUGUGUUUGGUUGUCUGGUUUAUUUUGCAUAGAAUCAUCACUUCUUGGAGCUAGUAACUUUGCCCCAUUUGAGACAUUUUCACAAACAGGUGAUGGGCACCUAGGUGAGCACGACAAGCACCUCCUGCUGCUCGGUUCUCUUCCAUGGCAGCAACAGGGCAUCCUUCGUCGGAGCACAUGGCAGUAGCAUAGAGAGCUGGGUUGAAUCACGCCUCCAGUUCUGAGGCGGAGCACACAGACUCCUUCAUCUCCACGACGACAGCAACAACAGCAGUGCUACCAUGAGCACGAACUUGCUGCUCCCGCGCCAGUCCGCGAGCUCGAAGCGGAAGACAAAGAUGAUGUGCGUGGACGGAGCCGCAGCAGCCACCGCGACAGUGGGGGUGUUGGGU